rnacentral:rRNA from 1 species
AGUGAACGCUGGCGGUAGGCCUAACACAUGCAAGUCGAACGGCAGCACAGUAAGAGCUUGCUCUUACGGGUGGCGAGUGGCGGACGGGUGAGGAAUACAUCGGAAUCUACUUUUUCGUGGGGGAUAACGUAGGGAAACUUACGCUAAUACCGCAUACGACCUACGGGUGAAAGCAGGGGAUCUUCGGACCUUGCGCGAUUGAAUGAGCCGAUGUCGGAUUAGCUAGUUGGCGGGGUAAAGGCCCACCAAGGCGACGAUCCGUAGCUGGUCUGAGAAGAUGAUCAGCCACACUGGAACUGAGACACGGUCCAGACCCCUACGGGAGGCAGCAGUGGGGAAUAUUGGACAAUGGGCGCAAGCCUGAUCCAGCCAUACCGCGUGGGUGAAGAAGGCCUUCGGGUUGUAAAGCCCUUUUGUUGGGAAAGAAAAGCAGCAGGUUAAUACCCCGCUGUUCUGACGGUACCCAAAGAAUAAGCACCGGCUAACUUCGUG